rnacentral:rRNA from 1 species
AGUGAACGCUGGCGGUAGGCCUAACACAUGCAAGUCGAACGGCAGCACAGUAAGAGCUUGCUCUUACGGGUGGCGAGUGGCGGACGGGUGAGGAAUACAUCGGAAUCUACUUUUUCGUGGGGGAUAACGUAGGGAAACUUACGCUAAUACCGCGUACGACCUACGGGUGAAAGCAGGGGAUCUUCGGACCUUGCGCGAUUGAAUGAGCCGAUGUCGGAUUAGCUAGUUGGCGGGGUAAAGGCCCACCAAGGCGACGAUCCGUAGCUGGUCUGAGAGGAUGAUCAGCCACACUGGAACUGAGACACGUGCCAGACUCCUACGGGAGGCAGCAGUGGGGAAUAUUGGACAAUGGGCGCAAGCCUGAUCCAGCCGUACCGCGUGGGUGAAGAAGGCCUUCGGGUUGUAAAGCCCUUUUGUUGGGAAAGAAAAGCAGCAGGUUAAUACGCCGCUGUUCUGACGGUACCCAAAGAAUAAGCACCGGCUAACUUCGUG